GGGGCUCUGGGAUGCAAAUCACGGCGGUGGUGCUCAGCACACUUUAAUCCUUUGUUCACUUUAGCUGGGCGCAGAUAAUGCAACUAAUUCAAAUGCUUGUCUCUGUGGUGUGAAUUAGCUGGAUGACAGCCUAAAACCUCUCCCCGGCAACAGCGAACCUGCAAAAAAAGGCAGAAGCACAGCUCCUCUCUGUUCCCAGCUGCCCUGUCCAACUCUCGAGGUUCUCCAUUAGAUUGCUGGCUCCCCUCACGCCUCCCUGUGUGCCUGCUCUCCAGUGGGGGCUGCAGACCCCAUGCUUGCGUCCACCUUCUGCCCCUGGCUGCAGGACAGCCUUUACCCGGGGCAGCCCGACCCGCACGGUCACUGCAAGGAGCCCGGAGAUGUGCUGCCAAGCGCCGCAUGGCCUCCUCGCUGCCUCCUGCCUGCAAAAAGGUAAAGGAACGACUUUGGACUUUGUUCCAGCGCUGGCUACACCGAACAACAGCAGCGCCGAAAACCGUGGUUUAACCCUUCCAGGGUCGCUGGGUAGGACGAGCCGUGCAAAGGCGUAGGGGUAGCGCGUGCUUGCGGGCUCCGGUGGGCUCGAUGCUCCCAGGCAACCUGCUCCUGGCGCUGAGCAGGGAACGUAAAGACCGGGGACACCUGCGAGACACAGGCAGCUUUUCACGCGCACGUGAUCAUCUAAUAAUGUUGGGAAUAGGAUUGCAGUCCAUGGCAAUAGCCACACGUGGGUGCCUACCGCGAACAGCGUGUUUUUGUUGGGAGCAGAUGACCCGGUGCAAAGCUGCUUCCCUCUGCCAGCCCGUGCAACGCCUGCGGACGGACGGGUGCCCGACGGGACGAGGGAGAGCGCGCCGGCGGUUUCAGACUUUGUUACAGGCCGGUCACUCUCUGCCCUCAUGAACUAAUUCUCUCUUGUUCAGGUCUGAAUGUUGUUUCUUCUUCCAGUGACCCCCCAAGACACCAGUAUUCAAACCUUCUUGGAUUUCCCUGGCUGGGAUGGAGCAGCCCUACUGGUUGUUAACAGCAGCAGACCAGGAGCGCUCACACGGUGAUUCUCACUGCUUCUUCCGUGCCUCAGUUUCCCCAUCUGUGAUGGGGGACGAGCAGCUGCUGGGCCAAGAGCACCAGGCAGGGGUUGCUGGCUGCUGCCUGCGAGGUCAGGCGGCCCUUUAUGCUGAGAAACACAAGGACAUCUACAUAGCUCACCUCCUCGGAAGAGGGGAAUCCACGCCAAUACAUCUGAGCAGACGCCUUACCUUUGCCUUCUCGCUGGGCUCCUUCACAAUGCCAUUGGUAGAAUUGUUGAGCUCCCUGGACACAACGCAGAGGAAUUCUGCCUGGUCUUCGUUUCCGUAGUUGUAGGAAGAUCCAAUGCUGAUGAGCUGUGCAACAGGAGACAGCCGAGGACUGAAUGGUACAAGGCAGAGAACCUGAAAGGCCACGUGCUCCUCUGAGAACCCAAGCCUGACAGACAAUGAGGCUGCAACAGCUUUUACCACUUCUGGCUUUCCUGCAGGUUUCUGAACUGGUCUUUUUGAUGAUAUUAAGUGACCAGACCCAAAGAGCCCGUGAAGGGAAUGUCUGCUCCGUUCAACUACUGGCACCCAGGCUAAGAUUUAGCAGUAGGCUCUCUCCCUGAUAUGCAGACCUGUUACCAUCUUUCCCAACAUGUCUCAGCAUGCCAAGUGGUGUGAUUUGGGGGGAGGGGAGAAGCAGUGCUGGGCUGCACAGCUGGGGAAAGAACUUGGCAAUAGGCUGCAGCCACAAUGUGCCUCCCAGCAGGGCCCGUUUCAGCAUGGGCCACGUCCCGUGCUGCACCACUGCCACGCUCCUGCUCCGUGACCCCGUCUGGACCAUCUCGCAGCUGGAGGGAGGCUGAACCACUGUGUGAGGUCUAGCCAAAGCAUCGGAUCUGUCUGCCCUGUUCAGGCUUGCUGCCCUUGGGGGUGUCUGAGCUGAAUGCGAGUCCCAGGGGAGGGCAAGAACAGCUCCUGAAGGUGGGAGCGUGCUGGAGCGGGAGAUGCGGGAACCUUCCUGGUGCUUGCAGCAUAGAGGAAGGAGGAGGCUGGCAGGGUCGUCGGUGGUUUGUGCAAAGGUUGUGGAUGGCGGAGGGAGGGGACAGGAAGGAAACACCCUAACGUUUGCCUGUAACCGAUAUCUUGACCCUGUCGUUACAGAUUUGAAAAGCAAGACUAGGAAAGAUGUAAGGGUGCAGAUCCCUGCACAGGGCACUGCCUACAGCCUUUUGGUUUUGGGGGUGUUACGCGCCAUGUGUGAAAGGCAACAUCUGUUCAGUAAGUUUUCAGUCAGCAAAACCUGGGUGUUGGAGGACUGGGAUGCCAUGGAGCAGCAGUGGCUCUUGGUCACAAGAUUUUGCUACCGGCUCAGAGGGGCAAGAGUUUUUGGCCACCUCUCCACUACGCAGUAGGAGUUUUCAGGCAUUACAGAGCAGUUACAUAUAUGAACAAGUGAUGCAGAGGGCUGUUGCUAAUGCUAUGCCUCGCUUCGUGUCAGCACAUUUCCCACAGCAUCCACUUGUACUGAGGCUGGACUGACUGGGAAGACAGCAGAGCUGUAAUCCAGAGCCUAGUCUGCAGUUUCUUAAUAUAGCAUUAACAUGCAGGCCAGCUGGUUUCCAGUUCUCCAUCCUCCUAAAUAAGACAACUGUAUUCAAUUGAAGAAACCAAAUCUGGAACUAAUACCCUACGCAACUUCAGUGACACCUACCCCUGCAAUUGGCUGCGUUACAAAGGCAUCUGCAGGAAGUAUAUUUCUCAUGUCACUCAGCACCUCUUUAGCAAAUGCAGGAGUCAUGGCUUUGACCUUCCAGAAAAGUCACGCUGUGGGUUGGUUUUUUUUUUCAUGCCUCAAUUAAUUUCCUGGAUAAAACUGGUGAAUGUGAUGAAAUGCAGGAAAAGGGAAGAAUUGCUCUGGGAUUUGACAAGGAUACAAGAAGCCCUGACAGGAAAUGGGCUCUCUCCUGGCAGUUUGAGUGAAUUCUGCCUUUCCCUGUCAGUUAUGCUAUGUAAGUGGGCUGCUGCUCAGUUCAGACUGCUUAUUUGGAAGAGAAGAGCAGCGUGAAGUGCAAUUCAAUAGCAAACUCUGCUUAUUCCAUAUCCAUCUUUCAAAGGGAUUCUGUUGUCCUUUGGUAACGGUACCUGU